rnacentral:misc_RNA from 1 species
AGCAGCCGCGGUAAUUCCAGCUCCAAUAGCGUAUAUUAAAGUUGUUGCAGUUAGAAAGCUCGUAGUUGAAUUUCGGGAUCAGCAGGUCGGUCGUGCCACUGGUAUGUACUGGCUUUGCUGAUUCCUCCCUCUUGACGAACCGUAAUGCCAUUAAUUUGGUGUUGCGGGAAAUUCAGGACUGUUACUUU